ACUGUCCGCUUCCAGUCUCUUUCUAAUGCACAGAUACCCCCUCAUCAAGUUAUCCUUCUAUUUGUUUGUAAUAAUUGUUUGUUGCAUUUCUUCCCUCGGUAUAGAAUUCAGAAAGACUUGGUGGACCCGAAAAAGCUUCAGGCAACUCUAAGUGAUGAAACUCUUGGUCAGACUUGUGAUCGAUCUGAAGACAGCUCUUGAGACAGUUUCACUUCUAGAAGCUCAACUGAAAGAGAUGAACCCAAAUUUUGACUCGAUCUCUAAGUAUGCACUCAUAAUCAUUUAUAGAUAAGGUUGUAGCAGACUAUGUCUCUUGAUAUUAAUUGUUUAUAGUUUCUACUGUCACUAGGUAGCGGAAGAAAGUAUCUGUGUACAAUGAAAGAGUUCAAAAGCUUAAUUCUGUUACUCAAGAGCGCGAUGAUAUUAAAAAAUAAUAUGAUGAGUAGAGGAAGAGAAGGUUAGUUCUGUCAAACCUUCAACUUUUAUUUCUCUCUUCCAUAUGCCAAUGCUUUUCCUUCAUCGGCUUACAACAUCUCUGUAGGUUGGAUGAGUUUAUGGCAGGUUUUAAUACCGUAUCUUUGAAGCUUUAAGAAAUUAUCAGGUAUUCAGCUCAGUUUUGACUUGCUUUUCUUAUCUAAAAAAUUUUCCCAUCUAAUUCUCAAGUUAAAUUUCAUCUGGGUAAGUGAUUCUGC
rnacentral:lncRNA from 1 species